GACGAACGCUGGCGGCGUGCUUAACACAUGCAAGUCGAACGGUGAACUCCGCUUGCGGGGGGAUCAGUGGCGAACGGGUGAGUAACACGUGGGCAACCUGCCCUCAGCUCUGGGAUAACUCCAAGAAAUUGGGGCUAAUACCGGAUAUGACCGCUGACCGCAUGGUCUGGUGGUGGAAAGAUUUAUCGGCUGGGGAUGGGCCCGCGGCCUAUCAGCUUGUUGGUGGGGUAGUGGCCCACCAAGGCGACGACGGGUAGCCGGCCUGAGAGGGUGACCGGCCACACUGGGACUGAGACACGGCCCAGACUCCUACGGGAGGCAGCAGUGGGGAAUAUUGCGCAAUGGGCGAAAGCCUGACGCAGCGACGCCGCGUGGGGGAUGACGGCCUUCGGGUUGUAAACCUCUUUCAGCAGGGACGAAGCGAAAGUGACGGUACCUGCAGAAGAAGCACCGGCCAACUACGUG
rnacentral:rRNA from 1 species